CACUAGACCAACCCAUUGGCACGUUGCCGAACGACCUAAUAACCCGGCCACGACCUUCUCUAACCUCCCACGAUUCCACCGUCCUCGUCCUGCAGCGCCGCCGCCGUCCACCGGCCUCCUCCCGCGAAACCGCCGCCGCCUGCCUUCCACGGAACCGCCGCCGGCCUGAUCCCGUGGCCCUGCAUCCGCCCUUUUGCUGCGGCCACGCGCCUUCCUCCUCCCGUGGCCCUACCCCCGGUCUUCUCCAGCGGCCGCACGCCGUCCUCCUAUCAUUGCCCCACUGGCGAUCUCCUCCCGCGGAUGCGCCGCCGCCGACCCCCAAUAGGAUCCAUGCCUCCACCACCCCCAAGAUCCUACGCCGCUGGGUGGGAUCCGGCAUCCCGCAUCCACGUCCCGGCGAGCCCAAGCACGCUGUCGGCCGCGUGUACUCGACGCAACACCUCCCGCCUCCCAACAUCGCUGCCUACCCUGCCAUCACCGCAACCACGCAUCACUCCAGCUGGGAUCCAUCGCGCAGUCCACCUCGUCCAUGCGUGCAGUCCCUCCUUGUCCGCUCGCUUGACAGCAGAGGUGAGACCUACCUCUGUGCCUCCUCCUCCACCUUACGGCCAGUUCAAUUUGCUCUAGCAAUUCAAUUUUGUCAUGUGCAUCACCCAGAUGAAUAUGUAUGUGUUUUGUUUAGUAUACAUUGAGUAAAUUUAGUAUUUUUUUUUUCAACUCACUCCAGCAAUCCUAUUAUUUUCAAUUUGACGUUUAUGUGUACAUUGAGAAAGUUGAGUAUUGUCGUGGUCGACAAUGACCAUGACUAGCUAAGUAACUUUGUCCAAUUAUCUAUAUGGGUGCAUAUCUUGUCUUUACUGAAAUGCCUCCACGAACAAGAAUACUAGUUCCAUCAGUUUCAAGUACGUGUGAUGUGGUCCUCUGGUUUUUUAUUCUUUCGUGAAAUUCUUGUAGUGUUCUACAUCUCCUUGUUCUCUCGUAAUGGGGCGUGUACUGGUUUUUCCAUGAAAAUAUUCUGUAGCUAGCUGGUAGUGCAACUACUCUCUCGCCUGUGUUGCUUCCUAUCCUUCCGGUGCCACUGUAACUACUCUCUCGCCUGUGUUAUUGUUCUAUGUGAUGCCUCUGCUUUGUGUCCAUGCCCAACUUGCUGAUGUUUGUCUCUCACUAGGUGCUAAUUCUCUAUCUAAUUGAUUCCGAUCGACAGCAAAUAGUGCUCCCAAAUCUGCAGAAGGAGCUCCUAAUUUUUAUGUCUGAAGUUCAGCUGUACCAUGGUGACACCGUUCAAAAACACUAGCAGGUGAUGUGCUAACCAGCUGCAGGACAUGGUCUCCUCGAGUUGCAGAUUGAUUUACUAGGUUGCCCGCGCCGGCCGUCGAAGCCUACCAAGGUGAUGCCUCACUGCUGCCAGCGUCUCCCUGCACCCCUCCUCCACACCACAAGGUCGAUAGAGAUAUCACGUUGUUUCUGUUGCUCUUCUACUACAUCUUCAGGUUCAGAAAAGGAAACAACAACGUUUCACUGCAGUCCAAAUCCAUGUGUGGGGAGAUGCUACAAGUUUGCCGUCCCUCGAUCUGCCGAGAAGCCUCGCCGUCGUGCCUUCUUUUCUUGCAAUCGCGUAGCUUUAGCCUGAUAUGCUCGGCUGAUGCAUCUCUUUCUUUUUGUUUCUUUUUUGCAAACUUCUUGCUUUUCAUACCUCAACUUGUGUAGAUCUUUUUGCAAUACCGACAUAGAGAAGUCUGCACUUCCAACUGACAUUCAAAAGUUCAGCUUGACGCCAUGCGGGACACUGCAGAGCUGUCGUGGUGUCGAUCGAGGCGCUGAAGUCUAGGGCUGUUGCAUGCUCUUUCUUGCUGAGGUCGAGCUAGAGUGCGAUGGUGUCCAUGCUCGCCACCCUUCUAGAGUCUGGUGCUAAUGCGGGCUUUCUCUUGCUAUUUUUUGUCUUACCAUGAGAGGGAUAACAAAUUAUUUAAUGUACCUUUUCUCCUUUACACUUG